UACGAAGGGGGCUAGCGUUGCUCGGAAUCACUGGGCGUAAAGCGCACGUAGGCGGAUCUUUAAGUCAGGGGUGAAAUCCUGGAGCUCAACUCCAGAACUGCCUUUGAUACUGGGGAUCUCGAGUCCGGGAGAGGUGAGUGGAACUGCGAGUGUAGAGGUGAAAUUCGUAGAUAUUCGCAAGAACACCGGUGGCGAAGGCGGGUCACUGGGCCGAUACUGACGCUGAGGUGCGAAAGCGUGGGGAGCAAACAGGAUAGAAACCCCUGGUAGU
rnacentral:rRNA from 1 species